GCUUACCUUUCAGCUCCUGCCCAUUUCCAAGCAGUGAGCCCAGGCAGAGCAGUGUCAGGCUCUUUAACCAUGUGGCUGGAGCACAGGCAGCUCCCUCUGCUCUCAUCUUGUUUCCCCUGUUUGAAUCCAGCGCCUGGCUGUACUGAGCAGACCCUCUCAGCCGAUCACCGAUACAUGGAUGUGGACAGGGUUAUGGCCGUCCGCCUUCUCUGCUUAGAAAACAUCAGUCUGUAUUUUUAUAAAAACCCGUAAAGUAAACCUGGCGCUAACAUGUAUGCUGGGUCUCGAAUGCUUUCAGUAAUCACGCUGUUACCGUUAAAGCCCGUGUCUGGCUUGUCACACGGAAACGCUCGAAAAACGACCGUGUAGUCGACCAUUGAUUGUUUUUCCUGGCAGGGGGCUGAUGCGGAAGUGUUUGAUAGUCCGCAGUGUGGAAGCCAUGUGACUGUGACAUGUGAGAGCUACUGGA